AUUAAUUCGAUGCAACGCGAAAAACCUUACCUACCCUUGACAUGGCAGAAACCUCCGAGAGAUUGGAGGGUGCUCGAAAGAGAAUCUGCACACAGGUGCUGCAUGGCUGUCGUCAGCUCGUGUCGUGAGAUGUUGGGUUAAGUCCCGCAACGAGCGCAACCCUUGUCAUUAGUUGCUACGAAAGAGCACUCUAAUGAGACUGCCGGUGACAAACCGGAGGAAGGUGGGGAUGACGUCAAGUCCUCAUGGCCCUUAUGGGUAGGGCUUCACACGUCAUACAAUGGUACAUACAGAGGGCCGCCAACCCGCGAGGGGGAGCUAAUCCCAGAAAGUGUAUCGUAGUCCGGAUUGUAGUCUGCAACUCGACUGCAUGAAGUUGGAAUCGCUAGUAAUCGCGGAUCAGCAUGUCG
rnacentral:rRNA from 1 species